rnacentral:piRNA from 1 species
UAACUUCUUCUAAAAUUAAAA